rnacentral:tRNA from 1 species
UAAUCUUUAGUGUAAAAGCACAAAAAAUUUUGAUUUUUUAGGAAAUAAUUCUCUUUAUUAAGAUUAA